GUAACAAAUUAGGUUCCAAAGUCUUGAAGAAGUGACUACUUGUGAAAUGUCACCAAACACUCCUGGAUCAUUUACUGUGGCUCCAGAUCUCACAGGGGAAGAGCUAAAGGCCGGUGACAUUGAGAACUAAGGACAGCAAAAUGCAGACCACCGGAAUUAGCUGAACAACAAGGAUAAGAAGAAACUAGGAAGAUAAAUCACCUCCUUUGGCAUCUCAGUGGGGAGCCUGAUGAGACUGAAUGAAGCCAGAUCUGAACACCCAAGCACAGCCCUCCUGUUCACAAGUACCUGCACAAGCAAACCAAACACAGAGCUUCUGGAAACGCUGUCAGGCAUGGCCACGCUGACCACAGGAAGCUGGAUCAUGUGCGACAUAGGAUGAUGAAUCUCCACCAGUAAAAAGCUCUUCUUUCCCAGUAAGCUUCCACUUUCAGCACAGUGUCUCCUGAUAGCAUGGAAGCAGCCCUAAAUUUAUGUGGAACUUGGGCCAAAGUGUUUACCAGACUCUGUUUGCUUAAAAAUAAAUUAAAAAUAAAGUAGAAUGUUUAGUGUUUA
rnacentral:lncRNA from 1 species